CGCGCUUCGCCUUUUGGCUAAGAUCAGUGUAGUAUCUGUUCUUAUCAUUUAAUAUCUGAUACGUCCCCCAUCGGGGACUACAUAUUAAAUGAUUUUUCGAACAGGAGUCGGAAAUGGGGCUUGCUCCGUCCGCUCCACGCAUCGACCCGGUAUUGCAGUACCUCCGGGAACGGUGCAACACUU
rnacentral:snRNA from 1 species